CUGAAAAUACUCAUCAUCACUGGUGUGGCCAAGCACCCACAUGCUAGUCGAUCAAGAUGUGGGUUGACGGAAUAACGGGCAACAAUCUCCUCCCUAACUUCAUUUUUAAAAAUUAGCAGUGACCUUCUCCCCUACUGCCAAUGACAGAACAUAACAGCACCACAAAGAAGAUAAGUCUGGGGCUACUGAUGCAGGGGACCCACCUCUUCAGGUGGGAAGCCUCCUAGGUAUGUCAGGAUCAUGAAGAUGGUGACCCGGUUUCUCCAGGUUGCAAACUACACACACACGCACCACUGCCCUGAAGACAGCAGCAACAAGAAAAGCCAUCGUCACCACUCAGAAAACUGCAGAGGAGGCAGGAGCCGCGGAGAAAGGGGACUGAGCGGGGCCUUAGGAAGGCUGAUUCCAGCUUCCCUGGAGAUCAGCUCUGGACCUCUGUUUGCUCAGAGGACUUUUGUGAGGAUCCAAUGAUGGACAGCAGGUGCAGCUAUAACUAAUAAGAAAAACAUUGACUUUGAUUUAUUUUGUGUGUGCGUGAGGAAGAUUCGCCCUGAGCUAACAUCUGUGCCAAUCUUCCUCUUUUUUUUGCUUGAGGACGAUUAGCCCUGAGCUAACAUCUGUGCCAAUCUUCCUCUACUUAGUAUGUGGGAUGCCACCACCGCAUGGCUGAUGAGUGGAGCAGGUCCAGGCCCAGGAUCCAAACCCGCAAACCCCGGGCCGCCAAAGCAGAGUGCGCGGAACUUUAACCACUCGGCCAUGGGGCUGGCCCUAUUUUGAUUUUUUUAUUACAAGUGUAAUACGUGUUUAUUGUGGAAAGUUUUAAACAGAAAAGCAUAAGGGGAAAAAUGGAAAUUACCCAAAUAUCACAACUGUUGACAUCUUGCUGGUUAAUCGGCCAUAUUUUCUGCUAGGUAAAUGCAUACACAUAUUACAGUACAAGGCCUUCUGUAUGCAUUUAUUAGGAAUGUGCCCAAAUAUAUUACGUGGCCCUCAUCUCAUGCUCAUCCUCUCCAUUCUUCCUUUCCAGCUUACCUUUUGGUCCCUCCAAACACGCCCCACCUUCAGGAUUUUGUAUGUGCACGCCCUCUUCCUAGAACGCUCUUUCUCUCUCCGCUGUUUCUUCUUCUGGCUACUCCUACUUAUCCUUGAGGUCUCAGUUUAUUCAUCACCUCCUUAGAGAACAAUUCUCUGACUGCUACCUUUGUCACCAGCCCCUUUGUGAGCACCCAGAACAUCCUGUUCUUCUUCCUCAUAGCAUUAUCAUACUGGACUAGUCUUGCCUCUUUGUUAUCUUGUUUUCCUUGCUGUACUCCAACUCAUGGGCAGGUACUGUAGCUUUUGCUCAUCAGCAUUUACCAGUGGCCGGCCCAUAGCAAAUGGUCAAAAAUUGUUGAAUAAAUGAACAAAAUAUUUAACAAUAUGUGUUACCUAUAUUUCUUUUGAAAUCCCCAAAGUAUAUGUCAUUUCUCAAUAAAUAUCCACUGAAAUGUUAAAUAUAGAAAAAGGUACAAGACAUGGCAACAUGUCUCACGAAGUUUAUAAAUUAGACAGGAGAAAACAUUAGCAACAGGAAGCCUCAGGAUGCCACUCAGGGCUAAGUUGUCUGCUCCUGCCUCCUCUCUGAGUUCUCUUAAGACUGGAAAGGGCAGUACACAAUCCCUAACUUCAGUUGCAUAUUUUUCCUCUCAUUGAGGAUAUCCUGUAGUACCAGUUGGAAUAAGAAGACCCUAGCAGCUUCACAUUUAUACUCCAAAAUCUUGGUGCUUCGACACAAUAAAGUUGAUUUCUCACUCAGGCAAAGUCCAAUGCGACUGUUCCUGCUUGGCGGGCAAUCUUCCAUGCGGUCAUUCAGAAAUCCAGCUCCUUCCAUCUACGGCUCUGACCUUCUCUACGUCCCGUCCCUGAUAUUUAACCAGGAGAUGGGAAGAGAGAGUUUUAUGAGCCAGGCUUGUAAGUAGCACACACUACAUUCAUCCUCUUUUCAUUGGCUAAAACCCAGCCACAUGGCCACACUUAAUUACAAAGGAGGCUGGGAAAUGUAGUUUAUCUGCAUGCACAGGAGGAAAAGGAAAAAGAGUUUGGUGAACACUGAAGUUCUUCUGCCACAAAUGGCAAGGGAGUAUCUAGUCUUAAGUGAUCUCAAGUACCAGUAAUUUUGAUUUAUGGAUAGUGAAAACACUUGUUUUGGUAGAAGAAGGUCCUUCUAACUUAACACUGGACAUAAGAAAAUAUCAUCCCAGGUUUUCAAAUUUUGAGAGUAAAAAAAGGGUCAACGCCAGACUUGAGAAACCACCAAUAUUGGUGACCAUUCCCCGACAUAUUCUAAAAGAGAAUAUCUAAAGAUGGCUUUUAUGAACUUUGAAAAUAAAAUGAUGAUUGCAAGUUACUAUGGGCUCACUAGGAAUUAUCAUAAACUAACCCAGCAUGCUGUCUGGCACAGAGUAGACAAUAACGAUGUAUUGAACAGAUGAACUUCAAAUCUACUUUUAAGGCAACUAUCCCAUUGAUAAAUGACUGUAACUUCAGAAAGUUCUGCCUUAAAUACAGCAGUUUGCCUCUCUAACUUCUAACCAUUACCCUCACUCUGACCUCAAAACCUACAGAAUAAGUCAACUCUCCCAGGUGACAGUUGCACAACUAUUUGGAGACUUCCGUAUGUGCUCUCAUGGUCUUUUAUUUUCCCCCCUGGGUAAAUAUUCCCAGGGCCUUCAAUUCCUCUCUGUGGGACAGAGUGUCAAGCUUCUCACCACUUGGCCGACCUUCUCUGAGAUCUCUCUGCUUGGUCGAAGUUGCUCUCCACAGUUUCAGGUCCACAAUGUUCCCAAUGAGCUCCAACCAGCAGCAUUCAGUAGAAUUAUCACUCCCCAGCUCUGAGUAUCAAAAGAAGUAUUUAAACAGUGAAGAUGCUGCCAAAGGGAUCCAGGAUUGGGAAAAGGGCAGGACUUGGAAGACAGCCUCUAAGGACUCUUGCCACUUUAUGACCCCUCAGGUUUUGUGGAAGUGUGAGUGCUGGGAAGACAUUGCCAUAAGGGUGACGGUGUAUACAACAGGUACACAUUCCUCCUUGACAAAAGUCUAGUCCACGCAUACCCUCCAAUAACUCAAUUCACUUGCAUAGUUGUAUUUCAGCUUUCUUCAUUUCUGCCUCUUUACUCCAAUUGUGAUGUGGAUGCACAUAUCCAAGCUGAAACAUGAAAAAAGGGGGAGGGCUGUGGGGGAGAGAAUGGAACAUUCCAAAAUUAGAAACCAGUCCCUAGCAAAUGAGAACUAAUUUUGUGGAGAGUUGAUCCAAGAGAAGGACUGGCACAGGCGCUCUGAUGUACGACAAACAUCUAUUGAGCACUGCCUAUGUGCCAAGCACCACGCUAAAUGCUGUGGGUACGGUGAGUACCAAGAGAUGGUACCAUCCUCCCUCUUGAAGCUUGGCCUCUGGUAGGCAAUUAAAUGAAGAAAUAUGGAAUAACAAAUUAAGACAAGUUCUACUGUUACGAAGAAAUCUCUGUUUCGCUGGCUUCAGGUUUCCACGAGGGGACAUUUGCUAGAGAAACACUUCUUUCUCCAUCCCUUAUUUACUCCCCAUGGGAAGAAGAGUGCAUUACCUGAUUGCUGAGUUCAGGAGAAAGACCCAGCAUGCCCAUCUCAGCCAUUUGCUCUCUCUUCUCAGAUCAAUCUGUCCACAGGAUUUACACACUCGUUGUCCAUGUGGAAGAGGCCUGCAACUGCCCACCUCUGCCAGGGACCAGUGGGUAAAUUUAAUUCAGGGUGAAGUGUUAGGAAAUCCGUGUGGCAUCUAGUCUGCCAUGCCCUCCCAUCUGUCCUACAGUAGCCAUCAAGUUGACAUUUCCAUUCAUCUGACUCUUGUAUGUAACUUUCAGCUGGGUCUGAACUCAAGCGGGAAAGAAAGGGGUGUUAUUUAUCACCCUCCUGAAAUCCCAACAGCUAUAAAGAAAAAACAUAGGGACUUAUGAGAAAGUACAAGAGGGGAAUCUAAUUGAGAUGGGAGGAAGGGUUUGAUGCGAAACAGCCUCUGUAAGUGUCAUUUAAGCUGACAUCCAAAGGAAACAGAAAUUGACCAAGCAACAAGGAAGAGGUGGGAGGAUUCAUAUGAAGGUUCUUAGGCAAGACACAGUUUCUCUUGUUUGAGGAACUGAAGACGUCCAGUGUGGGAGUCACCAGAGCUGGUCACCUAAUUCUUGCAGCUCUCUGCCUUCCAGGCAAAUCGGAUUGUACUUCCUGAACUCCUUGGUCCCGUCUCACGGUGGGGGGGCCAUGAGACUAGUUUAGCCAAUGAACUGUGAGAAGCGACAUGUGACAUUCUCUGGCAAAGGUACUUAAUUGCCUGGCUAAGACCCUUCAAAACUCACUCUCCCUCUUCCACGAGAUCUGUGACGUUCCUGAAAGCCGGUGCUCCAUCAGGCUGCGUCCCAGAGCAAAGCAAUGUGACCAGCGUCCCUGCCAACCCUUGAUGGACACAGAACAGAAGGAAUUAGACUUUUCUGUCUUAAGUCACUGAGAUUUGGAAUUGUUUUUCACUGCAGCAUAACCUGGGCUAUCCUGACUGAACAGUCACAGCUAGCGUGGCUGCAGAAUGGCAUUCCAUUAAGCAUUGGAGAUACAAAAAUGAAUAAGGCACAGCUCCUGAAUUUGGAGUGAGGGACAUAAGAAGACAUUUACAAGAAUACGUGAUAGACAUGCUCUGCUUCAGGUAUGUACCCUGUGUGGUGAGACGAAGAUAAUACCUAUUUGAGGGUAGGGUGGGAGAUGGGGUAACAGGAAGCUUCAGAGGGAGCAAUUAUUUAAGCUGGGUCUUGAAGGCUGAGUAGGAGUUUGCACGGUGGCACUCUGACUAAGGAUAAAAGUAAAUGGAAGGACAGGAAAAUGCCAGAGGAAUGGAAAAUGGUUAGGGUAGCUAGGACUCCUAGGACUGGGGGGAACGCGUAGGACAGGGUGUGGCGACUAUGUUACUGUUGGCAAAUACUUGCCGCCCCUCCCCACUGACGUCAGGCUUGGCCAUGGGAACCGCUCUCAGCAGCUUUCGGCACACGCUCUUUUCUCUCCCCCAUAACCAUCAGCAAUGUUUCAGAAAGGCUCCCAGAGCAAAGAUCGUCUAUGUGAAGCAGAGACACAGCCAACCCUUAAGGAGCCUGCAGUAUGCAUGAGAAGUAAUUCUGUGGCUGUCAUCCAAUAAGACUUUCGGAUUGCUACCAGGGCAUAACCGGGCCUCUACAAAGGUGUGCAUUUCCAGCCCUUGACUUCCAGCACAUUGUGGGAUCGCACUUUCCUGCACCCUUUAAGUAAGACACAGACAUGUGACUAGUUUUUGACCAAUAAUGUGUAAACACAAGUAAUAUAUGUCACUUCUGAGGAAGGUUUUAAAGCCAAAGUGAAUUCACCAUGCUUUCUGUCCCCUGCCAAAGGGCCUGGGAUGGUGGUGGAAGCACAGAUCAAGAUGAAACCUUCUUCAGACUCGGUCUCAGAGUGAGUCCGUUCAGCAGCGCCCCUGUGACCUUGAACAUGUAGUAUCAGCAAGAAAUACAGUAUUUUUGCUAAGCCACUGAGAUUUUAGGAUCAUCUGGUAUGGUGGCAAACCUAGCCUAUCCUGACCAUAAAAAUUGGCACCUAGACAUGGUUAAUGUAACAACAAAAAUAAUAAAAGUAAGCAUCCAUUUCCAGGACAGUAGCUAAGAACACUGUUAUCAGAAGCCAAAAGGUCGGUGAUCUAUUUGGUGAACACAUCACCUGUGCCAAUUUAGAAGGCAUGUCAUGAACUUAAUGAACUCAAGCAAGAAACUGCAAAACAAAAUGCUAGUGGCAUGUGUCGGUGCCUGUUAGAUGUAUUUGGAAACUUAUUACAAAAAAAGAGAGGAGCUCGGAGAAGAUUUGGCCAGUUUGCGGGCAAGAAUGAGAGAGAGUAGGGACAAUCUGUAAACGCAGAGAUUUGUAGGGCUCGAAAAGGCUACUGUUUCUAAUCUCAACUAGCAACAUAUAAAAUUAAGAAAUGUGUUCAGCAAGAACUCAUCCUCGGUCAAGUGAACUGUAUGGCCUCAAACCUACGGUUAACCCCUCUGGAUAAAUUAAGAUGAUACCAGCAAUGUUUUCCACUGGACAAAAUAGCUGUGCAAAUGGAGGCAGUGAGACCCUCUCACCAAAGCCCAAAGCACUCAAACCAAGUCAGGAGAGAGGGCAUGGGCGAGAGGGCACAGCAAGUCUGAGAGCAAGAGGACAAAGAAAUGCAAAAAAGAGAGCAAACCAUGGAAGUGCAUCUAGAAAAGAACUGGCUGUGGCCAUUGGCACAUGGAAGGUCUAGAAUCAAAGAGAGAGAAGCCUAGUCUUUGUGAGAGUUGUACUGAAAAAACAUCCGACCCGACCAAAGGACGCUGUACUUGAGACUGACUCUCACUCUGAACCCCUCCCCCGAUUUUUAAAAGCUUAUUUGAAAACGUACGCCUCUAUGCCUGCUUUAGGUGUGGAAAAGGAAGGCUCUCAGAGGGCAGAGUCAGGGGUCUCAGGAAACAGCGGAUAGGGCAGCUACCCUCGGGAGCAGAACCAGGGUCUAACGGGGGUGUUGGGUAGGGGUCCUCCACACGUCUGCGCAGUGGGCCAGCAUCUACCGUGGCCUCCCAUUCCUUCACUUUCCAAACGGUAUGUCCAUUGCAUUAUCCCGUCCUUGCCCCACCGUCACAUAUGGAGGGUGUGCAGGGUGGGUAUCUUGCCUUUAGGUGUGGAGUCAACUGCGUGUCACACAGACCUGCACAGCGAGCUCGAUACACUGGGCCUAGAUGACUCUCUAGCAUUGUCUCCCUUGAGGAGCGAAUGAGGGAGCUCACCUGUGGGAGGACGACAGCCAGACACUUGGCGCACAGAAAGGGGGAGUGUUAGAGUCUUCUGUGUUGUUCCCCAAAUAUUCCUGGCUCUCUCCCUUCGAGCCACUUGGCUCACAGACAUUUAAAGUGAGGCGUGGCUGCGUGACUUACUUUGGCCAGUGAUGCAGGAGCAAAAGUGCAGAGUGUCACUUCCAGGUGGAUGCUCUGAGAGCCAGUGAAUAAUCCGCGGCCUCCUCGCCCCCCAGCCAAGACAGGAGCGAGAAGCACGCGCCAGGAUGCAGUCCUCUUCAGCGCGAGGCCUCCAGGGAACACGGUGAGCAGAAGUCUCCUGCAGACCACAGUGGGCACCCAGCGUGAGCAAGAAAUAAAGUGCCCUGGGGUAGCCCCUGAGGCACAAGGCUGCUGUCAGGGCAGCACAGGCCCGCCUUUCCUGACUUAGCCUGGUGGGGAGAACUGAGGCUGGAGAGCAGGAGCGGGACUGCAACCGGCCCCUUCUCCCAGGCAAAGGCAUCUGAACUCUCUGCUGGUUGUACAGGGAAGCCAAGGACUGCUUCCUGGCAGGGGCGUUAACGUGAACAGAUCUGUUAUUUUUUGGAUGAAAUAUGAUAUUUCUCAACAUAAGGAGAAAUCAGCCUACUAAACCACAUAAGGCAGAGAGGAAGACACAGAACCCUUAGGCAAAAGACACAGAUUUAUACAAACCUUAAGUCCUGAAGUUUCUAAAUACAGGCACUCUGAGAGGAGUUAGAGAAUCAGGCAAGACCGUUCCUUCCAUCCGACCAUCUAAGUGUCAUUUCCUCUGCAGACAACCACAUUUUACAACAAAGUCUUCUGG
rnacentral:lncRNA from 1 species